rnacentral:rRNA from 1 species
CCUACGUGAGGCAGCAGUGAGGAAUAUUGGUCAAUGGGCGCGAGCCUGAACCAGCCAAGUAGCGUGAAGGAUGACUGCCCUACGGGUUGUAAACUUCUUUUAUAAAGGAAUAAAGUGAGGCACGUGUGCUUUUUUGUAUGUACUUUAUGAAUAAGGAUCGGCUAACUCCGUGCCAGCAGCCGCGGUAAUACGGAGGAUCCGAGCGUUAUCCGGAUUUAUUGGGUUUAAAGGGAGCGUAGACGGGUUGUUAAGUCAGUUGUGAAAGUUUGCGGCUCAACCGUAAAAUUGCAAUUGAUACUGGCAGUCUUGAGUACAGUUGAGGUAGGCGGAAUUCGUGGUGUAGCGGUGAAAUGCUUAGAUAUCACGAAGAACUCCGAUUGCGAAGGCAGCUUACUAAACUGCCACUGACAUUGAUGCUCGAAAGUGUGGGUAUCAAACAGGAUUAGAUACCCCAGUAGUC